CUACGGGUUGCUCCAGUGAGGAAUAUUGCACAAUGGGGGGAACCCUGAUGCAGCAACGCCGCGUGGAGGAUGACGCAUUUCGGUGUGUAAACUCCUUUUAUAUGUCAAGAAAAUGACGGUAGCAUAUGAAUAAGCACCGGCUAACUCCGUGCCAGCAGCCGCGGUAAUACGGAGGGUGCAAGCGUUACUCGGAAUCACUGGGCGUAAAGGACGCGUAGGCGGGUUGGAAAGUCAGGUGUGAAAUCCUACAGCUUAACUGUAGAACUGCACUUGAAACUUCUAAUCUAGAGUAUGGGAGGGGGAGAUGGAAUUAGUGGUGUAGGGGUAUAAUCCGUAGAUAUCACUAGGAAUACCUAAAGCGAAGGCGAUCUCCUGGAACAUUACUGACGCUAAGGCGUGAAAGCGUGGGAGCAAACAGGAUUAGAUACCCUCGUAGUC
rnacentral:rRNA from 1 species